rnacentral:rRNA from 1 species
AGAUGUUGGGUUAAGUCCGUAACGAGCGCAACCCUUGUCCUAGUUACCAGCACGUUAUGGUGGGCACUCUAAGGAGACUGCCGGUGACAAACCGGAGGAAGGUGGGGAUGACGUCAAGUCAUCAUGGCCCUUACGGCCUGGGCUACACACGUGCUACAAUGGUCGGUACAAAGGGUUGCCAAGCCGCGAGGUGGAGCUAAUCCCAUAAAACCGAUCGUAGUCCGGAUCGCAGUCUGCAACUCGACUGCGUGAAGUCGGAAUCGCUAGUAAUCGUGAAUCAGAAUGUCACGGUGAAUACGUUCCCGGGCCUU